rnacentral:rRNA from 1 species
UACGUAGGAGGCAAGCGUUGUCCGGAAUCACUGGGCGUAAAGAGCUCGUAGGCGGCUUGUCGCGUCGACUGUGAAAUCCCGCGGCUCAACUGCGGGUCUGCAGUCGAUACGGGCAGGCUAGAGUUCGGUAGGGGAGACUGGAAUUCCUGGUGUAGCGGUGAAAUGCGCAGAUAUCCAGGAGGAACACCGGUGGCGAAGGCGGGUCUCUGGGCCGAUACUGACGCUGAGGAGCGAAAGCGUGGGGAGCGAACAGG